rnacentral:rRNA from 1 species
AACGUAGGUCACAAGCGUUGUCCGGAAUUACUGGGUGUAAAGGGAGCGCAGGCGGGAAGACAAGUUGGAAGUGAAAUCUAUGGGCUCAACCCAUAAACUGCUUUCAAAACUGUUUUUCUUGAGUAGUGCAGAGGUAGGCGGAAUUCCCGGUGUAGCGGUGGAAUGCGUAGAUAUCGGGAGGAACACCAGUGGCGAAGGCGGCCUACUGGGCACCAACUGACGCUGAGGUUCGAAAGUGUGGGUAGCAAACAGG